CCUACGGGAGACAGCAGUGAGGAAUAUUGGUCAAUGGACGAUAGUCUGAACCAGCCAAGUAGCGUGAAGGAUGACUGCCCUAUGGGUUGUAAACUUCUUUUAUAAAGGAAUAAAACGAGGCACGUGUGCCUUUUUGUAUGUACUUUAUGAAUAAGGAUCGGCUAACUCCGUGCCAGCAGCCGCGGUAAUACGGAGGAUCCGAGCGUUAUCCGGAUUUAUUGGGUUUAAAGGGAGCGUAGAUGGGUUGUUAAGUCAGUUGUGAAAGUUUGCGGCUCAACCGUAAAAUUGCAAUUGAUACUGGCAGUCUUGAGUACAGUUGAGGUAGGCGGAAUUCGUGGUGUAGCGGUGAAAUGCUUAGAUAUCACGAAGAACCCCGAUUGCGAAGGCAGCUUACUAAACUGUGACUGACAUUGAUGCUCGAAAGUGUGGGUAUCAAACAGGAUUAGAUACCCUUGUAGUC
rnacentral:rRNA from 1 species